UACAAACUCUGCCCCUGCUGC
rnacentral:miRNA from 1 species